rnacentral:rRNA from 1 species
GACGAACGCUGGCGGCGUGCUUAACACAUGCAAGUCGAACGAUGAAGCACAGCUUGCUGUGUGGAUUAGUGGCGAACGGGUGAGUAAUACGUGAGUAACCUGCCCCCUUCUUUGGGAUAAGCCUUGGAAACGGGGUCUAAUACUGGAUAUUCCUGUGUCACCGCAUGGUGGUGUGGGGAAAGUUUUUUCGGUGGGGGAUGGGCUCGCGGCCUAUCAGCUUGUUGGUGGGGUGAUGGCCUACCAAGGCGUCGACGGGUAGCCGGCCUGAGAGGGUGACCGGCCACACUGGGACUGAGAUACGGCCCAGACUCCUACGGGAGGCAGCAGUGGGGGAUAUUGCACAAUGGGCGCAAGCCUGAUGCAGCGACGCCGCGUGAGGGAUGACGGCUUUCGGGUUGUAAACCUCUUUCGCUACCGAACAAGGCUCCAUUUUUGUGGGGUUGAGGGUAGGUGGAUAAGAAGCGCCGGCUAACUACGUG